rnacentral:rRNA from 1 species
CCUACGGGAGGCUGCAGUGAGGAAUAUUGGUCAAUGGGCUGACGCCUGAACCAGCCAAGUCGCGUGAGGGAAGACUGCCCUAUGGGUUGUAAACCUCUUUUGUCAGGGAGCAACGCCGGCUACGUGUAGCCGGACUGAGAGUACCUGAAGAAAAAGCAUCGGCUAACUCCGUGCCAGCAGCCGCGGUAAUACGGAGGAUGCGAGCGUUAUCCGGAUUGAUUGGGUUUAAAGGGUGCGUAGGCGGAAUGCCAAGUCAGCGGUAAAAUCGCGGGGCUCAACCUCGCUCCGCCGUUGAAACUGGCGUUCUUGAGUGGGCGAGAAGUAUGCGGAAUGCGUGGUGUAGCGGUGAAAUGCAUAGAUAUCACGCAGAACUCCGAUUGCGAAGGCAGCAUACCGGCGCCCAACUGACGCUGAAGCAUGAAAGCGUGGGUAUCGAACAGGAUUAGAUACCCCUGUAGUC